AUGCCCCUGCUGUGUUCGUGAUUGGAAGAUGUUCUUUGAUCCAACACUUUAUAAAAAGGGAGCUUUCCCUGGUUUUGGUGUGCAAGUUCUGCUCGUACAGAAAAGCCUGAAGAAACUAAAAGGCGCCCACCGUUUUGAAUAGGUUCAAAGACCUGACAACACGGCAUUAUGCAGGGGCUUU
rnacentral:other from 1 species